UACGUAGGGGGCAAGCGUUGUCCGGAUUUAUUGGGCGUAAAGAGCGUGUAGGCGGCCCGACAGGUCCGUUGUGAAAACUCGAGGCUCAACCUCGAGACGUCGAUGGAAACCGUCGGGCUAGAGUCCGGAAGAGGAGAGUGGAAUUCCUGGUGUAGCGGUGAAAUGCGCAGAUAUCUGGAGGAACACCGGUGGCGAAGGCGGCAUCCUGGACCGGUAUUGACGCUGAGGCGCGAAAGCCAGGGGAGCAAACGGG
rnacentral:rRNA from 1 species